AGGAGCCUAACCCACACAUGCAUCGACACGAUGACCUGGGUGCCUUCUCGCCACGUGCGGAGGGUUGGUCAUUGGGAUGCAUGGAGGCCCAACC
rnacentral:sRNA from 1 species